GCUUACUCAUGAAAUACAGAGAACAUUCUAUGAACGGAUCUUGAACAAACCAUCGGUUUUUACAUCACGUGGUUGGCAGAAUUACCUGAAUAGAUUGCUUACUAUUAGCAGUAAUAUCAUCAAACAAUAAUCGGGAAAAUCAACAAUUUAAAUUCAUCGGCAGUACAUUAGCGACAAAACUAGUUAAAUUUAAGAAAUAAUAAAAUAAUUCAAUGAAAC